CCUACGGGAGGCAGCAGUGAGGAAUAUUGGUCAAUGGGCGAGAGCCUGAACCAGCCAAGUCGCGUGAGGGAGUACUGCCCUAUGGGUUGUAAACCUCUUUUGUCGGGGAGCAAAAGCCGGACGUGUCCGGCUGUGAGAGUACCCGAAGAAAAAGCAUCGGCUAACUCCGUGCCAGCAGCCGCGGUAAUACGGAGGAUGCGAGCGUUAUCCGGAUUUAUUGGGUUUAAAGGGUGCGCAGGCGGAUUUUUAAGUCAGCGGUAAAAUCGUGGGGCUCAACCCCAUCCAGCCGUUGAAACUGGGGAUCUAGAGUGUGCGAGAGGUAUGCGGAAUGCGUGGUGUAGCGGUGAAAUGCAUAGAUAUCACGCAGAACCCCGAUUGCGAAGGCAGCAUACCGGUGCACAACUGACGCUCAGGCACGAAAGCGUGGGUAUCGAACAGGAUUAGAUACCCCGGUAGU
rnacentral:rRNA from 1 species